rnacentral:rRNA from 1 species
UACGGAGGGUGCAAGCGUUGUCCGGAUUUAUUGGGUUUAAAGGGUGCGUAGGCGGCCCGUUAAGUCAGUGGUGAAAGCCUCCAGUUCAACUGGAGAACUGCCAUUGAUACUGGCGGGCUUGAGUACAGACGAGGUAGGCGGAAUUGAUUGUGUAGCGGUGAAAUGCAUAGAUACAAUCAAGAACACCGAUUGCGUAGGCAGCUUACUAGGCUGUAACUGACGCUGAGGCACGAAAGCGUGGGGAGCAAACAGG